GCCUAGAGUAGCUUAACUAAAGCGCUGGUCUUGUAAACCAGAUAUGUGAUUUAACCUCACCCAAGGCC
rnacentral:tRNA from 1 species